AGUGAACGCUGGCGGUAGGCCUAACACAUGUAAGUCGAACGGCAGCACGGUAAGAGCUUGCUCUUACGGGUGGCGAGUGGCGGACGGGUGAGGAAUACAUCGGAAUCUACUUUUUCGUGGGGGAUAACGUAGGGAAACUUACGCUAAUACCGCAUACGACCUACGGGUGAAAGCAGGGGAUCUUCGGACCUUGCGCGAUUGAAUGAGCCGAUGUCGGAUUAGCUAGUUGGCGGGGUAAAGGCCCACCAAGGCGACGAUCCGUAGCUGGUCUGAGAGGAUGAUCAGCCACACUGGAACUGAGACACGGUCCAGACUCCUACGGGAGGCAGCAGUGUGGAAUAUUGGACAAUGGGCGCAAGCCUGAUCCAGCCAUACCGCGUGGGUGAAGAAGGCCUUCGGGUUGUAAAGCCCUUUUGUUGGGAAAGAAAAGCAGCAGGUUAAUACCCCGCUGUUCUGACGGUACCCAAAGAAUAAGCACCGGCUAACUUCGUG
rnacentral:rRNA from 1 species